rnacentral:lncRNA from 1 species
CAUCAACAUGCGUAGGGUUAACCUCAUCAUCACUACUAUCUAAGUCGUCCUCCUCACAAACAUCUUCAACGUCAUCAAUCCUUAAGAAGUUGUGGAUGGCAGAACAGGCAAGGACUAUCUUUGCUUGUGUGUCAAUGUCGUGAUAGGGUUGAUGUCUCAAAUAUGCAAAUCUUUUUUUCAGCAAACCAAUUGUACGCUCAAUAACAUUACGUAGAGAUGAAUGUCGAAAAUUGAACA